UACAGAGGUCCCAAGCGUUGUUCGGAUUCAUUGGGCGUAAAGGGUGUGUAGGUGGCGCCGUAAGUCGGGUGUGAAAUUUCGGAGCUUAACUCCGAAACUGCAUUCGAUACUGCGGUGCUUGAGGACUGGAGAGGAGACUGGAAUUCAUGGUGAGCAGUGAAAUGCGUAGAGAUCAUGAGGAGGACCAGUGGCGAAGGCGGGUCUCUGGACAGCUCUGACGUGGAGGCGCGAAGGCUAGGGGAGCAAACGGG
rnacentral:rRNA from 1 species